GUUGCUGAUCACAUGUUGCAUACUGACAAACAACAGGAAACAAGGGUGCUUGAUAGAGAAGUUCAAACACUUCCUACUUUCUCUUCUUCGCAGCUGGCUGCCUGAAGUGGUUGCGAAUGUCAGAUUGCUGGUUUUCAGAAAGCUAGAGAUAUUGCUGGACAUGGUCCCUAAAAUCUGAUGUUGGAAAAGUUCUAAUGAAGCAUAUUGGCACCUUCUACAAGUGGAUUCGGGGAUGUUAUUGAGGCUUAUGACAUGCUAUGUACAGCAGAGUGCCGGCCAAGUCUGGGAGAGGGACUGCCCAUCAGAGGUUGGCUGCUAUCAGCAGGGGGCCGCAUGUCUCCAAUUCAGGUCAGCCUUGGCUACAGACGGGGACUUUAAAGCAAGCCACAACGCGUCCUGUGAUCCCAGUGCCAUCUGUCUGUAGUCCCACAGUCCCCGAGCCAUGUGGGCCGGCCUGCCUGGCGCCUGCCAACGUCACUGACCUGCAGCAACCGUCCACACCUCCGUCACACACCUCCUGAUCCGUCUGGGAUAAAUAGCUUCUCCCUCAACUUCUGUGCCGCCAUCACGGCUUCCCAAUCUGUCCUGUGUUAGAAGGGGGAGAGGGAGGGGGGUGACAGGAAGAGACGGGGAGGGAGGGAGAGAGACAAAUGAGAGUCAGGAACCGAUAGAUGGAUGGAUGGAGUGAGCACGAGCAAGAGAUGGAGAUGGAUGUCUGCAGAGAUAAAAGGUUAAGAUAAUUUAGGAUUUGGCACAGCAUCGACCUGCAGCUCGCCACUUUAAGAGGCACUCCAACAGGCAAGGGAGGUCACCUUCACCUGGUCCUGAUGUUGGGGCAGCUGUGUGUUGAAAAAUGAGAUCAGCUGCUUGCUCACCGGGACGCAUGCGGCAGUCUGGAACUACCCAGGGCCUAGUGUACCAGCUAGCAUACGGCGGCCCCGGUACAAUAAAGACAGAGCGAAACGGCCCCCUCUCUCCCCAGCCCUGUCUGCCUGCCUGCCAUCCUGGGGCAUGUUGGGUCACCUUGACGACUGGGCCCAGCGAGGGGAGCCUCACCCCACUUCAGGGCAAAGACGGAGGCAGUAUGGAAGGGACAACAGCUUGUUGGAGAAACCUCUCAGGAGUUCUUAGUCCAGGAAGGAGGAGAUUCAUGGGCAUCAUGGUGGAGGUCAGCAAGUCAUGUGCUCUUCAGAGUGAAAUACUUGUAAGGGUUACAGGGGUUGCUGAUCGAUCCAAGACCAAAACCCAACGGACAUCCACGUUCGGAAGGAGCCAACACAUCUAGCUGAGAAAAUAGCGUAAAUCAGCCACCCAUGAAAUGUUCAUUUAAAAAGAAGAAGGAGAAGAAGGAAAAUAAAAAAGAUUUUCCAGUCCAAGUACGCCUAGUUAUAAUGACUGUCGGAGAUGAGGUUUAAUCAUUCUGCAUCUUGGUCUCAUAAAGAGAGGGAAGGUACAGUAUUCCCCCAUGUUGACUCAACGUUAAACAUUCUCUAAUAGCCUCCGAAACGGUGCGGCAUCCCAUGAAGCCACUGGAAUCCCUGGACUAGUGGAACGAGACCCAGUGGGAAUUUUCUGACCACCUCUACUCACACACAGUCACAGCUAAUGCACACUUUGCGGAGGCAGUAUGUAUGCUGUUACGGUUAAGAACUUUGAGAGGAGUUUUAAACUGGUUCAUGUAACAAGAAGCAACUAGAAAAAUAUCCCCAUAAGUGAAAAAUGAAAAACUGAAGGUUGCUGUCCGCAUGGAGACGCAAAUGCGCAAGUUUGUUUUUCAUUAGCUUGGCUUGUUUGACAGGAAUAAAGCUCCACACAGUUUUCUGCCGGGAA